GCCGGGGUGGCGAAAUUGGUAGACGUACCUGCCUUAGGAGCAGGCGCCGCAAGGCAUGGAGGUUCGAGUCCUCUCCCCGGCACAA
rnacentral:tRNA from 1 species